UGUAUGGGUAGGGUCAGAUAAUAUUUCUGAACGGAAAUACCCAGGAGUAUCCCAAGUUAAUGACAUUUUAGACUGUCCAACAACUAUACAGUCAGCUCCUUGGGAAGACUCUGGUUACUUUUACAAAGCAAACCAGGAGAAAUUUUAUAAUACUUGAUAACUAUGCAAGACUUUGAAUAUUUGAAUUUCUAGGGCACAGUAUUGUGCAACAAUGCACUUUAUCCCAUAAUAUUUAAAUCUACCUCCAGUAAGCCUCUCAGCACCUAACACAGGUUUCUUAGUGAAGAGCUACCUUUUUGUGGGUAAUGGGAAAGGCAAAGUAAACAACCAAAUAAUAUCAUAAUCACAAGUGUCAAUGAUUAGUGUAAAAGGUGGGGGUGAUCAUUAAAUUCUAGUUGUUUCCACUAUUCCAGUGGGACUUGUGGGAAUGUUAGCAAAAGACCAGGGUGUUACGAUCUGAUUGUGUUUCAUCAAUUACCUUGGCUUUUGAAUGAAAUAUGAUGUAAGGACAAAUCAUUAUUAAAUUUGCCACAGAUUCUAAUUUUUUCUCUAACAUGAGGCUAACCAUGACAUCCUUUCCCAGGAAGAACAGUCUCUCCAUGAUCAGGGAAACAUCAGCAGGGGCUUUUCUCCUUCAUCCCCACCACAGAGUCAUAGAGGUCAAGUCCUUUUCUUGUUAAACCUAAAAAACGCAAAUGUCAAAGUUGCCGCUAUGGUGCACUAACUUUUGUCACAGUGACAUGCCCUGUCACAGGGCAUAUGUAUUCUGUUAUACAAUUGAAAUAUUGGAUAUACUAUUGUUUUUAUACUAUCGAAAAUCUCGAAUAAACCGAAUUCUAAAAUAAGUAUGACCUCGACAGUCUCACACCUACUUAUAUCUUACAGGUCUUUCUGUCUAAUGCUGGCAACCUAAGCCAUGUUCCAGACAAGCAACAUUCAAUAGCAUUUUACUGCUCCAACAAGUUGGUUCGUUUAGGAAUGUCAAAGGGAGUCACUAAAUAGAUGGUGGAUAACCGUCAUACAAUCUCAUAUGAUUUUCCACCAGUUACCAUAGAAAAAUUGAUGAAGUUUCUUUACAGUGGAAUAAGUUCAAUCACACUUAAAAAACUAAAUACUGAAGAUAACCACAGCUGGCUGCUCUCUAAAAAAACAGAAAUGGCAUCUUUACUUUGUUUCAAAUCCCUAACCCUGGUGGCGGUCCAAAGUUAAGGCAGUUAGAACUCCUUAUGUCAAUACAAGGAGGUUGGGUACAUAUUAAGUCAGCAUCUUUUAAAACUAAGAGUAUGACUACAGUGGGGUGGAAUUUGGGACUUCACACCCACUCCCUGUUUCUGUUCUAUUUUACCUUUUCUGACUUCUAAGCCAACAGGAGAGGGGGAAGGGCCACACUUUUGUGACCCUUCUUAAAGAAUUGUGUUGAGUUUUGGAAACAAAGAUGGACUUCUGAGGGGGUGGUUGAUGAUGGGCUGCAGGCACAGAAGAAACCAACUGGUGUGCCCCUCUCCCCACUAGCAGACCCUUCUUCCUCAUUGGUUCAGGUCACACAAUCCCCAAGAAUUCAAGGAAACACCUAGAGUUAUUUCCUGUUAUUUCUCAUUUCUCUUUUCUUUGAUCUGGGAUCAAUGAAGUAAGAAACCUAAAGGCAAAGGAAAGGCAGAGAUCAACACUGAGCAAGUCCAUGUUGGAGAAGGUUUGUGGGGAAUUGGAAAUCCUUGCCCUCGUGGUUCCUGGCUCAGCAGGACCCGUGUAGGGCUUCUCCCUUUCCAGGGAAAGAGGUUGCUCUAGAAGGUUUACUAUACUGGUGAGAAGAUGAGUGUGUGGGGGAUUGGUUGGCCAAGGGAGAAAUCAAGGCUGAAGCCAAGUGUGCUGAGCUCUCACAUGAGGUUCUUUGCUCCUGUUUCCUGGAAUCAUAAGUGGGUGGGGUAGAGAGAAGCAGGGGUGUUCCUUCUGUCCUUUCUCGCUUAGGGAGUGGGGGUGGAAAUUUUCCCACAUCUAAGGAAAUUUUGAAAGACAAAAUAUGGUUGCUUCUUCAAGCAGACUACCUCAGCACACUAUCCAGAGGCUAAAACCUGCUUGCUGCUGCUAAAUUAUGCCAAGAGAGAACAUUCUGAUCAUUCUCCUCAAUUCUAGGCAUGGCACUAUGGCUUGGUGCUUAAAGGCUGGAGUUUUGAGUUGCAGAUCUAGGUUUGAGUGCUGCAUCUACUAGCUUCAGGGUGUUAAGUUUCUUAAUCUCUCUAAACCUUAUUUUUCUCAAAAAUAAAAAUUGGGUAUAGUUGUGAAGUUAGUAAAUGGUACAUAAUAUGUGCAUUUGACACACUAAUUUGCUAUUAUCUGGACAUAAUUUCUCCUAAGUAAAAGGAUGAACUAAUUGCAGGGCCUAGCCUAAGCUCUGAGAAGUCAUUUGUUAAACAGCAUUUUAGUCCACAGUAAACAUGAAGAAAUGAGAUAAAGAGUUUAAACCAGGAAAGGCAUAGCUGUAGUCACCAAACAACCUAUUAGAGACUGAAUUGUGUUCCUCAAAUUCAUAUGUUGAAGUCCUAAGCCCAAGUACCAAAUGUUACUGUAUUUGGGGAUAGGGUCCUAAAGAAGUCAUUCAGUUGGAAUGAGUCAUAUUGCAUUAGGUGUUGGGUAUUGGCUGGCCAAGGGAGAAAUCAAGGCUGGAACCAAGUGCUAAACUCUCAUAUCAGGUCAUUUGCUCCUGUUCCCAGGACUCUUUAUGGGGUCCAAUAUGACUGGCACCUUUAUAAGAAGAGAAGGAGGCACCAGGGAGUUACACAUACAGAGAAAAGGCCAUUUGAGAACACAGUAAGAUGGAGGACGUCUGUAAACCGAGGAGAGAGACCUCAGAAACUACUCUUACCUGUACCUUGAUCUUGGAUGUCCAGUCUCCAGAACAGUGAAAAAAAUGAGUUGGUGUUGUUUAAGCCACCCAGACUGUGGUAUUUUGUUGUGGUGGCCCUAGCAGACAAAUAUACAACCCAAAGGAUUCUUUCCACAUUCGCCAUCUUCCAUUUUAUAGUUUUUUCUCCUUUUGUUUCUUUCUUUUUCUCCUUUGGUUUCCUUUUCUUCUGUUCUCUUCCCUCUUUCUUUUAGUUUUUAAUUUUAAUUUUAAUUUAAUUUUUGGCCUUCCUAUUCCUCUAUCUGCCUUUCCAGGAAGCUGAAUUCCAGACAAUUAAUCAUUCAUCUCAACAGUUCAGCAAAUCAAAUGCCCUUAAUUGUUUCUCUUGUGAUUCAAUUAAUAUAGAAUCAAAACGUAAUGUACUCCUCUGGGAAAAAUAAAACAUAAAAAAUUCAGAAAUAAGGUAUUGGGCCAGCUUCACUGGUUUUAAGAGAGGGAAGGGAGAAGAUUCAUACAGGUUUGACGCCAGGCAGCACCAUGUGGUUGGGCCUGGCAGGCACUCGAGGCUUUAGGUCCAGUCUAGAAAAUCAUUACUUUCUAAAAGCUUUGAGGGUCUAGAAGAGUUUAUGUGAAGAGAUAGUGUUUGGAAAAAGUUUUGCAGAACUAGAGAAAAGUUUCGAGUUACCUUUUCUGUCCUAAUAUAGAGCAUCUUUGCUAACUAGGUCUUGAAUCAAUCCAAGGUGUCUAUGAGAGUAACCAUUUUUAAUUUCUCACUGGCCAACACUAACACCCUUUAGAAAAUAAGCUCAAAGCAGCCCUAGAAGCCGGGGUCAUGCGGCCAUGGUGGUAGUAGAGCUCCUCACCAAGGUCAGCUCCUCAGUGAAAUCCAUGCCUUCUGGAUGACUGCUUGUAAAUAAAUAUUAAGCAUGACCAUUAAAAAAUAAUUUGGCUCUGACCAUCAAA